rnacentral:rRNA from 1 species
UACACUCGAAUAACCAUAGGAAACUAUAGCUAAAACGAGAUGGUCUGUUUAGACGGCAUCGUUUAGACAGUAAAGAUUUAUCGGUACAAGAUGGAUAUGCGCAUGAUUAGCUUGUUGGGGAGGUAACGGCUCACCAAGGCGACGAUCAUUAGGGGUUCUGAGAGGAAGGUCCCCCACACCGGCACUGAGAUACGGGCCGGACUCCUACGGGAGGCAGCAGUAGGGAAUCUUGGUCAAUGGGCGGAAGCCUGAACCAGCCACGCCGCGUGCAGGAAGAAGGUCCUUAGGAUUGUAAACUGCUUUUAUCAGGGGGUAAAAAGGUGCUGCGGCACAAAUUGAAAGUACCUGAGGAAUAAGCACCGGCUAACUACGUGCCAGCAGCCGCGGUAAUACGUAGGGUGCAAGCGUUGUCCGGAAUUACUGGGUUUAAAGGGUGCGUAGGCGGGUUGAUAAGUCAGCGGUCAAAUCUACAGGCUUAACUUGUGGUUCGCCGUUGAUACUGUCAGUCUUGAGUACAAAUUACGAAGCCGGAAUUCAUGGUGUAGCGGUGAAAUGCAUAGAUACCAUGAGGAACGCCGAUAGCGAAGGCAGGUUUCGGGUUUGUAACUGACGCUGAGGCACGACAGCAUGGGGAUCAAACAGGAUUAGAUACCCUGGUAGUCCAUGCCGUAAACGAUGGAUACUCGGUGUGUGUCCGCAAGGAUGCGUGCCCAAGGGAAACCGAUAAGUAUCCCACCUGGGGAGUACGCUCGCAAGGGUG